UUCAUCCAAACUAAACGUGAACUCCCCAUUCUUCUUCACCCCUUUUCAAUCAAAAACCCCAACUAGCCGUCACCAUCCACCCUAGCCCCGUCACGUCGCCUCACCGCCACCACACCCGUCGGACCACCGUAUAAAGAACAGACACCAUCUCCCAUCAACCCCAGUCCCUUUUCUUCAAGUGACAAAGCUUUGAACAGCUCGUCCAAGUCGAAUCAACCCCCAAAUCGAAAAACACGCAAGGAUCUUUGGGUUUCUAGGCAGAUAUUCCAACAAUCCAUAGGGUAAAGGCUCGUUCCAAUCCGUUGGGGCCUAAAACCAUGGAAAAAACCAUUAGAUUCGGACCUCUAGCUUUCACUUCACCUCUGAAAAAGUUCUCGGCUGAGCAAGGACUGCUUUAAGCGGAUUCGGAGACUCGAUGACGACAUUAGCCUCAGUUCGCUGUUCCGGAGAAGGUCAGUAAUCACAUUCGUCUUCUCUUCGUCUUUAAAUCUGUAGAAGUCGAAAUAUAGUCGUUUUGUUGUUCUUAGCAUUCUUUGGAGUUCGAUGGUUUGAAUCUGCCUACACUUCAGUUUCUAUAAACAAGCAUGAAAUAUGUGUGGCAAUCUAUUAACGUUUAAAGAAAAUGAUCGUUUAGCUUGGUGAAUACACGAAUAGUAGUGUCGCUUGUCUAAAAAUCUGUUUGAGGGAUCCUUUAGGGGACUAUUUUAUCAUGUAAAAUCAAGUAUGUAAAAUGGCUAAAAUAAAUCAUAACCUCAAAACAAAUGUCCUGAUUUGUUGGUAGUUAAUACUAGUCUAUACAUAUAGGUUCGAAUAAUCAUUUUGUUUCUGUUAGUUUGAAUCUGUCUACAUCCCGUAAUCUUUUUUUUUUUUUUUUUUACCAUUAAGGCUGCAGCUAUAGAUGGCUUGAAUCGUGUUUUAUCCUUCGUUCAUGUCUUCAAAACCAGUUCUAGUAUGGAUCAAUAUUAAGAUGUUUGUGUCAAAUAGCUGUUUUCUACUUUCAUUUGGAUAUGAGCAUGAAACAUUAUUUGUUUAAGGGCAUUGAAAGGUUAGCGUUUUCCCUGUUUUAGUUAGCUUAAAUAAAAUGGUUGAUAACAUAGCUACUGCUAAUAAGAUUUCCUAAAGCCCUACUAUAAAUUCCAUUUAGACCUUAUGACUGAAAAAUAUCAUGCCUUGGCUAAAGAUUGAGUUAAGUAGAGGUUAAGCAAACAAUUGAUUUAUUGGCUUUCUAUUUUGUUUAAACCUUGUUAGGUCAGUAUUUUUUUUUGUGUGAACGUGAAUAGGCGUAGGCUCAAAGCUGAAUCUUUCAUUCAAAACUUAGUCCCCAUGGUCAUUUAGUUUAGAAUUGUUGGUGGUUUAGUUAGCCAAAUCCUUAAAAUAGUUUACUUCCUACCUUGAAAAAUGUUUUCAUCUUUUAUUUUCAAUCUCUUUUUCCUUUAAGAAAACAGGAGAAUGAAUUUGCGUGGGCUAAGUUGUUUUCCUUGGGAUUUUUGAUCAAAAUUAGGUGUUGCGUUCCUUGUUUAAAGUUUUAAUCUUUUUCUUUAGAAAACACAGGUUGUGCUUUAACUAAUAAGUGGAAACUUAGUUUUAACAGUUGGUAUGAGCUUGGAGGGGUGGCUCUGAGAUUAGUGUUUUACUUCUAUUUUGAGGAUUGAACCUUGUUUGUUUCCUCUUUAACUAAUAGGAAAAUUAUAAUUUAAACAAGUAAAGUCUCUUCUUUUCCUUGAAUCAACUGCUUUGUCCUUCCCUUUUUAUUUAUUUUUAUUUUUUUAUUUUACUGACUGCUUCUCUUCACUAGGAUUCUGCACUUAAAAGCCUGGUUAUAUAAUUGAUAAUAUUACCAAUUGAUAAUGCUUGGAAUUGGUGCAGGAUAUGAACCAUUUACAUGUAUAAGUCCAGACCGUGUUGUGUCCCAAUAUAAAUGCUUGAAAGAUCUCUCUCGUGUUUGCCGUGUUCUGUUUCUAAGAUAUGAAUUCAUUUAUCACCUUAGCUAAAACUAGAGUGUAAUGACUUCAAGGAUAGAGUCACGAGCUUGAAUGCGAAAAUUCAUUAAGCUACUUAGUGUUAACAAACUCGAUGGAUUGGUCUUAUUUAAAGUUGUUCAAUCCCGUUUAUAUCUGUUAUUUUCCUGAUACUUGAUCACUUGAUUUAAUGAACCCUUAUUAGUGUUUACUGCAAAAGGCGAAUCAUGUUUCUAAUAUAGUCAUAUUGAUGGAUUUAAUGUAGUGUACUAUGGGAUUGUUCUGAUUUUUUAUAAUUGACGAUCUAGAUCUGUUUGCUGGCUUGAUAACCAUUAAUAAAAAUAUGUGAAGUACUAUUUCACCAGUAGACUAAUGAGAAGUUAAAAUAGUUGAAGAAUAUCCGGUCGGAACUAGUAGUUGUUCGAUCUUGCUGUUCGAAUAUACUUAUGUUCAAAUGAAGUAGGUCUGAAUAGAGUUAUAAAAUUCACACAUAUGUCUCGUAUUCAUCUUUGAUCAUGUAUGCUCUAGAGAUAAUUCUUGCUGUAAUGAUUGGUUUAUGAUGCAAUAGUAGUUGUGAUUCCUUCCAGAUUAUAUGACGUUCAGUUAAGUUUUUGUUGUUACUAAUCAUCGAGAUUUGUACCUAAUCCUUUUCUUUUCUUUCUUUUUACAUGAACACCAUGGGAGUUUGUUGGAGUUGUGGCUCAACUCUAAUUCUGCCCAGGUCAUAGGAGCAAUCAGCAGCAGAUUUAUUUGCUCGUGUCUAGCCGUCCCCUACUUUCGCGUCAAAAGAAUCCACGUCCCUCUUCCUCUCUUAAAAUUUUAUAUCUUUUUUAUUACUAUAUGUUAUUCUCACCCUUUGACUAACAUCUUUUAUGGGUUUGUAUUUGUAGUAUUUUGUUUCUGGCUUGUUUGUGAACUCGUGAAUGGCCGAGCCUUGACAUUGGCCACUUUUCCUUAGAUAUAAAUCUUGGUUUAAGGAUAGCUUAGGAUAAAGAAGUGACAAAUGUCCCUUUAACUUUGCGUAUUUCACAGGUUGUAAACAUUUUCUAACUAAUAGAUAAGGCUGAUUUUUUCUUUUCUUUAAAA